rnacentral:SRP_RNA from 1 species
GCCGGGUGUGGUGGCUCACGCCUGUAAUCCCAGCACUUUGGGAGGCCGAGGCGGGUGGAUCACCUGAGGUCAGGAGUUCAAGACCAGCCUGGCCAACAUGGUAAAACCCCGUCUCUA